GCCCAGGUGGCGGAAUUGGUAGACGCGCUAGCUUCAGGUGCUAGUUUCCGUACGGAAGUGGAGGUUCGAGUCCUCUCCUGGGCACCA
rnacentral:tRNA from 1 species